UUUUUUUCCCCAGACGAGACAGAAAUCCCCGUAUUUGUGGAACUGGCAUCAAUUUCUGCCACUAAAAAUGACAUGUAUAUCGAUACAGUGAGUUUCUUCCGUGAUACCAUGGCUGCUUUUGCCCCCAUCAGAUUAGACCCGAGUCCCACAGCUGAGUUUGACCCGUUCGCUGCAGCUCCAUCUUUCGCCAGAGAAGCCAUCGCAAAAGACAGUGAACUUCCCAAGAAGCUGGUGAGUCUUCAGGUCCCACGUCGAAAAGUCACUUGGACACUUGCUGUGAGGCCGAGUUGCUCAUGUGUAGGUGUCUAAUGCCAUUUAAGAUGAUUUCUCCAGGACAUCCAUGUGGGUCUUGCAGGACCUGGGCAAAAUCUGUGCCGUUUUCGGAGUGGAAGCCUGGUGGAACAUCUCAAAUGACCUUACACGCAUGUGUGAGCAGCCAGAGGAGACCCAGUAGGUGGUGUGAAUAGGAGGAAACGAGUUCUGGAGUCUACAGUGUAGGAUCGCAGAAUAAUUGAGGUUGGAAGAGACCUCUGGAGAUCAUCUAAUCUAAAUCCCCUGCUUCAAAUGGAGUCAGGUAGGGCAGGUAGUUCAUGGCUAUGUCCGAUUGAGUUUUGAGCAUCUCCAAGGCUGGAAGACUCCAGAACCUGUUUCACAUUUUGAUAAAAAAGCUUCUGUUUUACCAAAACUCUUGUGUUUGAGCCUUAUGCUCUGCUCCCCAUCAAAACCAGAGCAGAGAAUAAGAGCUUCACCACAUGCCAAUGCUCUGGGGUGUUAGGAGAAGUCCAACUCUGGGGCUGUGUCUCCUCAGAAGCCCUAAGAAACCCCAUCCUCAGAAGAAAUAGUCACAGAAACCUCACCAGCAUCAAAUUUGGGGUGGGGGAGUGUUGCUCAGUGUCCUUCCAGCUGGUUGGUGGGUUUCCCUUUGGUUCUUCUGUCGCAGAAAGAUCCCUGUGACAACAGAGAGUGGAUAAAGAUGGUUCACGACUCUCAUGGCUCUGUGGAGCAUUCUUUGAUCUCUCAAGCCGGAAGCAUCAACAGAAAUGGGGUUUUUUACCAUCUCGGCACCUUCAAAAUUCAAGGCUAGGCUAGAAGACUGCGUCUCAUUGUGACUGCUCAAUGACAGCGAGGAGAGCACAUCUCCAGCAGACCAAAAGACCAAGAAAUACAGUUUGUCUCAGCUUGUGGCGCUCCAGAAUGAGCUGACGUUGGUGGCCACCAAGGUUGAGCAAGGCAGGGAGGAGGCAAACCGUUUCCUGGAGCUGUGCUGUCUCCUGCCUGAUGUCAUAAUGCACCUUCAAAUGAUGCGGGCUGAUGUCACAGGGGGAUGCCCCACAUCACAGGGAGGUCUCCCCAGCGCCACGUGGGUGCUGGCAUUUCCCGGCGAGGCCUGGGAGCUGCUGGGCACUGCUCAGGGGCUCUCCACUGCUGCCCUUCGGAGCUGCUCCACAGCCAGGAGCAGGGUCAGGAGGCAGCGGGGCUGUGCUGGGGGACCCUCGCUGACAGGCAGAGCGGAGGCACGUCAGAGAGGAGUUUUGGGAGAGGAGCUGCGAAGAGCAUCCCUUUCCCUGAGCUGAGGGCAAGCAGCCAGCGCGAUGGAGGGCUGCUGCACCGUGGCCGUCAGCUUGG